CAGAUAGUCUGUCUUUAUUUACAAAUAAUGUAAGCCUCAGACAGACAUUCCUCAGAGUGGGCCUCCUGCCUGGUGCUCAGUCACUGCAGCUGGAGCAGAGGAUGACAAGCACAGCAGCAGCAGCAGCAGCAGCAGCACUGAUGGUGAACAGCCUCUGCUGAGCUCUGGAGACAAAGCUGCACCUUCCUGCUCUUACAACAGAAGAAGACAAGUACAGGAAAGCCCUACCAAAAUCUUCCUCUGUGUACAAAAUGACCAGUCUUUGCUCACAUUGCAGAAGGCACUGAGAAGUUUUAUCUUCAGUAGAACAUAAGGAAAUGUAAUCUCAUCGUGCUUCCCCGUAACCCAUAGAAUAUUCUGGUCAACACAAGGUUUUUCAGCAGAUACUUCCAUUCUCCCUGCUUGGCUGGAGACUUAAGGACAGGAAUAACCAGCCCUGUUCAGGUCCAACAAAGUGAGGGAGAGAAAGUGGUGCAGCCUUUGUGCUGCUGCCUGGCAUCUUGACGAGUUUACUGUUCAAUGUUGCUUUCUACGAACUUGGCAAAAAGCUUCAGUCUCUCUGAGUCCUGCCUUUCUGUCCACUUGCAUUAGGAGUCUGUGAAAGAAGGGACCACCUUUCAGUCACUUCCUGGGGGACAAUGGGCUGGAGGGCACGGGGAGUGCAGGCCCUGCAGGAACCAUCUAUCUCCUGAGCAGAGGCACAGCUUUGCCGAGGGGAAGGGGAAGGUUUUGCUGAGUCAGCGCCUGGAGGACCAGCUGAGGUCCCAUUUGCUCACAUGCUGAAGUGCUCUGAUGAAUUACAGCCCAGGGCAGCCAGCUGCCAGCCCUUCGCUUCCUGAUUAAAAACAAAACAGCCUUUCCAGAAGCUGCUCAUGUGCUGUGAGCAGAGUCAUUCAAGGUCCCCCUGUUUUCCUGAUUAUUCCUCUGUGCCUGCCUAAAAAAUCUCCAUCCACUGCUUUAAGGAGUGCUGUAGUUGGAGCAAACUGUAUGGAAAGAACUUCCAAACUGUAUGGAAAGAAUAUUUUCUAAUUAUGUGCCAG
rnacentral:lncRNA from 1 species